rfam:Rattus norvegicus chromosome 1, whole genome shotgun sequence.
GGGGUUUUAGCUCAGUGGUAGAGCGCUUGCCUAGGAAGCGCAAGGCCCUGGGUUCGGUCCCCAGCUCCG